AUACAAACCUGGCAGGACUGUUCUAAGACCAGGAAGGUGGCUUUUCCAAAGUGAGCCUCAUCCCUUGCCCUCUGGCUGUGCUGACCCCUGUGCUUUUCCCAAAUGUGGGCAGCUCAGCAGCAUCACUGUGCUGUGGCCAUGGGGGGAUGGCAUCCCUGUUGUUCCCCA
ensembl:snRNA U1 U1 spliceosomal RNA